CCAUCUCUUUCUUGGCAUCAUAUUUCUUUACUUAAUUGUGCAAGUCUUGGGGGCAAAGGCUCCUAUUUUUGGGGCUGCCAGCUUAUCUCUCCCUUGUGUUUAUCCAAUUGUAUGCCAUUUUGGUGUAUAUGGGUUGUCAUCCUUGGAGCUUGUGGAGGCCGAAAAUCGAAAAGGAUGGGAAAGAGAAGAGAGUAGAGUAGAAGAUCUUGUACUGUAAAAAUGUAGCUUUGAAAGGAGUCUUACUUGUAGCUCCAUGUAUCCAAUUUGUAUAGCAUAUGUUGUAUUUUGUACUAAUUUAUUCUCUUUUCCUUCUUCAAUAAUUGUAGCUUACAAACUUAAA